rnacentral:lncRNA from 1 species
GGUGGGGAGGCGUGACGGCGGCGGCGACUGGGCCUGGAACCCAAGUAGAAAAAUGGAGACCUUCCUUUUAUUUUUUUGUGUUUUUGCAAGAGAAUGAAACUGCAGAAAGUUUUUUUUUUUUUUAGCUUUUAAGGUAAUUAAAUUGGUGCCGUUUGAAGGAGUGGGACCUAAUCCUACGGUGCAUUCAAUGGCCCCUUUUGCUUCUUUUUAAUUUUAGCCACCUAUUUUUUCGCUUGUUCCAAUCUGGUCUCGCGCAAAUCAAUGCGCAUAUGGGACGGGGAAUAUUGCG